AUUGAACGCUGGCGGCAGGCCUAACACAUGUAAGUCGAGCGAGCGGCGGACGGGUGAGUAAUGUCUGGGAAACUGCCUGAUGGAGGGGGAUAACUACUGGAAACGGUAGCUAAUACCGCAUACCAUCAGAUGUGCCCAGAUGGGAUUAGCUAGUAGGUGGGUGAAUGGCUCACCUAGGCGACGAUCCCUAGCUGGUCUGAGAGGAUGACCAGCGACCAUGGAACUGGGACACGGUCCAGACUCCUACGGUAGGCGGCAGUGGGGAAUAUUGCACAAUGGGCGCAAGCCUGAUGCAGCCAUGCCGCGUGUGUGAAGAAGGCCUUCGGGUUGUAAAGUACUUUCAGCGAGGAGGCGUUACUCGCAGAGGAAGCACCGGCUGACUCCGUGGCAGCCGCCGCGGUAAUAC
rnacentral:rRNA from 1 species